UAGUGUAGUGGUAGAAGUAGUAAUACAUAUAGAAACAUUAAGAGCUUUUGAAGGAAACAGAAUCAACCCACCACCUCUCCCACUCCUUGUUCCUUUCCCAAUGCACUGCACUAUCUAUGAUUCUCUCCUCUCUCUCUAACUCCAUGUCUGACCAGAGAGAUCUCCGAAGAAGGAAGCUUCCGGCCAAUCGGAGAACCGCCAGACGAUCGCCUCGUCCUAGAAUCAAUUCGGAGGCGGGAAGGAGUCCAUCGGAAUACGCCAAUAUUCUGACGAGCUACAAGUCGGAGCCGAUUCUGCCAAACGCCGGCUGCGGAGAGGUGGUGGUGAUCGUAGAGCAGCAGGAGGAGGAGGAAGUGCUUUAUCGGCCAUAUUUUUGCCCCCUUCUGAACCCUUACAGCGGUACAAUAGAGAUGCAAAGGUAGUGGUAAAUGUGACGGUUGAGGGAAGUCCAGGAGCAGUUAGAACGUUGGUUAAGUUAGGAUCCAAGCUCGUCAUCAAAAAAUACAACCAAGAAGGCAGAACGCCGCCUCUUCACGAAACCGCAGCUGCUUAUUUUGAGCUUCACCACUCAUUUUUCAGUCUUGAGAGCGAGUUCUCUUUCAAUAUAAAUAAACAUCAAUUUCUAGUUGGAUA